rnacentral:rRNA from 1 species
AAGGUACCACUUAAAGUCAAAAUAUUCAUGUGGAAUCUCCGUAGGGGAGUUGUGCUAACAAAAGACAACCUCGCACGAUGCAACUGGUCGGGAAGUAAGAAGUGUUGUUUUUGUACUCACGACGAGACAAUUAAACACCUCUUUUUUCACUAUAAGUUUGCGUGUUCUACGUGGUCAGCCAUCCAAAUAACGUCAAAUUUGUAUCGGCCCACAAGUGUUGCCAAUAGUUUUCGUCAUUGGCUGGACGGUAUUAUAAAUAGGUACAAAACGCUAAUAAGGGUGGGAGCGUAUGCCAUACUAUGGUCGCUUUGGCUAUGUAGAAAUGAUGUUGUGUUUAAUGACAAAAAUGCUUCUCCUUUGCAGGUUAUUUUCCAUUGUACGCACUCGUUUCGUACGUGGUGUAUGCUACAAUGA